rnacentral:rRNA from 1 species
GACGAACCGUGCGAACGUUAUUCGGAAUCACUGGGCUUAAAGCGCGUGUAGGCGGAUGGGAACGUCGGUCGUUGAAAUCCCCGGCUCAACCGGGGAAUGGGCGCCGAAACGACCGUCUGGAGGGACGUAGGGGACCUGGAACUUCCGGUGGAGCGGUGAAAUGCGUUGAGAUCGGAAGGAACGCCCGUGGCGAAAGCGAGGUCCUGGACGUCUACUGACGCUGAGACGCGAAAGCUAGGGAGCGAACGG